UGGGGAAUAUUGGACAAUGGGCGAAAGCCUGAUCCAGCCAUGUCGCGUGUGUGAAGAAGGUCUUCGGAUUGUAAAGCACUUUAAGUUGGGAGGAAGGGCAGUAAGUUAAUACCUUGCUGCUUUGACGUUACCGACAGAAUAAGCACCGGCUAACUCUGUGCCAGCAGCCGCGGUAAUACAGAGGGUGCAAGCGUUAAUCGGAAUUACUGGGCGUAAAGCGCGCGUAGGUGGUUUGUUAAGUUGGAUGUGAAAGCCCCGGGCUCAACCUGGGAACUGCAUCCAAAACUGGCAAGCUAGAGUACGGUAGAGGGUGGUGGAAUUUCCUGUGUAGCGGUGAAAUGCGUAGAUAUAGGAAGGAACACCAGUGGCGAAGGCGACCACCUGGACUGAUACUGACACUGAGGUGCGAAAGCGUGGGGAGCAAACA
rnacentral:rRNA from 1 species